UUUUUUUCAAGUUUACUCAACGACACUCAGGAGAAGACUUGUGCUUUUUUCAAGUUUACUCAACGACACUCAGGAGAAGACUGUUGAUCAGAAUUCCCUGGUCGUUAUAUUUAUUGCCCUCUGAUUACAUGUAUUGUAAUAUUUAGGUACAUUAAAUGGCGGGAAAUAGUAUGUA